rnacentral:lncRNA from 1 species
CAAAAAACAUAGACCAUACAUUACCAAAAACCCAGCAAAAACGAAAACCCCCCUCCACGCUGAAACCCGUCAAAUAUUCCCUUCCCCCCUCACGCCAGAACGGACGUGGCAAACCCAAGGGAGCAGAACGGAAAUCACGCGAAAUUUCAAAACCUACGCGCGAGAGAUUCGACAGAAACAGCAGCCACGCUGUCUCGCUCUCUCUCCUCCUCUGCCUCAUUCUGCUCUUGUGCAGUUGCUUUCGGCGAAAGCAGACCUGCGUGUUCAUCCUUGGUUGCGGGAGAUUGAGCCACGUAGUGCAAAAAGGACUACAUUUCAUGAUCCGAGGCGUCAAUUUCUCCCUUUCCCCUUUUGGGAUGGGACGAAAUAAGGGGAAUUCUUCACAGAAUAUGGUUUGCUUCGUUAUAGGAAAAAAUUCAAAAAUUUGAGUUUAGGUGGGUUUCGAACCCGAUUUCGAUUCCGGGUUUCCGAUUCCUUUGACCUAAUCUCUCCAUCUAUAUAUUGUCGCUUUCUUCUACUUCAAGGGGGGAUUUUUUUUGAGAAAAAUUUUUCUAGCGACUUAAGAAAGAAUCGACGAACUAUAUACAUAAGAGGCCGAUUUCUGUUCGAGGUUAGAUUUUUGGGGUUGGAAAAUUUUGUUGAAAAUUUUCAAGAGAGAAACUUGGGGUGGAGGAAAAAUCUUGCAAAUAUUUUUGGUUCUCUUCUGUUUUGUUGUAGGAGAACAGUGGUUUGGACGAUUUUUCUUUGAGAGUUGGAGAGUUAUCACGAAGAUUCAUAAAGGUUUUCUGGAGAAAACACUUUUUUUUUCGUCUGUUGUAGGAGAACCAUCGAGAUUUUUUCUUUUGGUUAUCUUCUUGUUCGUUGUCGGGAGAAGUAGAGGAGGUGUGUUGUCAUUUUCCUGUUCAAACGAACUAAGGGAGAGCCUUAAGCGGUCUUAGAGAGAGUUUUCCAAGAUUGCGAUGAGCACAAAGUUGGCAGAUUGGCGAGUUAACCGACCCCGCAGCUUCCAUUUCAUCGUUUGUUGUUCGUGUCUUCGUUUGGGGUGGAAGUUAUCAUUGUCGCUGCUCAUUCUCAUCUCACUUCACUGAUCUCAGAGAGAGUAGGACAGGUGAACAUGGGUCAAGAACCCAAAAGCAGGUGGGUCCAAAACUUGAUCAAGGCGAACAGAACCCGAAUUUGGACCCAAAAAUCUCUCUCUCUCUCUCUCUCUCCCACUCUCUUUCUUUAUUACUUGCUUAUGUGCAUUGCUUAAACGUCGUUAGCCUAGGACUAGAAAACUACAAAUCCCCUUUGAAGCGCCUUUCUAUUUUAUCAAGCUAAAACUAAGUCUUAAGACAACAAUAUUUCAAACUCAUAAAGCUCGUUUAGAUAAAAACCUUAAGGAAGUUAAACUUCGAAACAGAUCCGCAAAUUUGCAAGAUAAAUAAUGAAUAUUUCAAAACUUGUAAAUUUGCCUAAGUAUUUUUCUAAUAAGUUCAAUAACAAAAGAUUCGCAAACAUUAAGGUAAAAUAGUCAAAUAAGUUAAUCGCCGGAAACCGUAGUUAGCGGAGCGUCUUAUGUGCUUUUUCGAAACCUUCCUAAGACGCUAAUAGAAUCCCGAACCCUUAAAAUUUUUCAAACGAUUUCCUGUUUAAUUAUUUGAAAACAAGUUUCUUAAUUUUCUCAAAAUUAAGUGGCGACUCUUAAAAAUGUUGAAAAUAUCCUUUAAAAUCAACGAACUCUUUUCGAAAUUAUUUUUCGAUAAAACAGCUUGUAUAUGUGCAUAAGGUCUCAUGCAUAGUACAUGUGGAGUACUAACCCCAUUUUCUUCCCUUUUCCCAAACAUUUUAGGUUCCGAUCGUUGAAGAGUUUGGAAGGCGACAUUGUUGAAGGCUUGGAUUCUUCAUUUCAUCCAAGUAGGGUAGGUCCUCAACUUCCGAGGGCAAUGCCACUAUCUAGCUUAUGGACUUGUUAUGAGCUUAAAAAAUCUUUCAUUUCUUUUCUUUUCAAUUGGGUAUCAUACUUUUGUAUGACCUAUAUGUGGUCUUGUUGUAUUGAGGACUAUGCCCAUAUAGGGAUAAUCGUUUAGAUGGUUUGAUAUGAGACAAUCUUUGAGACUAUUUCACUAUCAUAUAUAUAUGUAUGUACAAUAAAAGUAGAAGGCUUUGUAACAUUCCUAUUUGAAGGUUCUAUGUAUACUCAAUACGACUAUAUAUAAUGUGUCUCUAGAGGUCUAUGUAAACCUCCAAGUAUUUAUAAUGAAAGUUUUAAGUUUUUCCACAUUUUUCAACCUAUGAAUGUAAUGACCUGACACUAAGAGGCUAGUCUUAGUCUUUGAAAAGGACGAUGACGAUGGUUACGUCUAGGGGUAGGAUGUGAAAAACUUGGUAUCAAAGCAUGAG